AAUCCGUGCUAGACUCUCCUGUGAUCACCACCACUGCCUCCACCAUUACUAUUACUACUACUGUCAUUUCCACUACCACCAAUACAAGAGCACUACUACUACAACUACCACUAACACCAGUUUAUUCUAUCGUCUCUCCAUCACCACUACUACCAAGCAAAACAUUACCAACACCACUUUUAACAUUUUAAUUGUAGUAUUUUCUCUCAUAACCACUACUUCACUGUUAUUAUUACUGGAAAAUUGAGACUCGCCACUCAUUUUUCAUCCUUCCUUCACCCAUCACCACCACCAUCACCACCAUUAUUACGAGCACCAGAGACAACUUCAGGAUUGCUGGGAGGUAUCAGUCCGGCUACCUACGAGCCAUGGCUUCAAACUUCUCCAUAGGGUUGAUAGGAUUGGUCGUGGUGGUGAUGAUGCUGCAGCUCUACAAGAUUCAAAACCUGGGGAGUGAACUACAGAACCAAAUGAUGAAAUCCGAAACGCUGAAGAAAUUCAUGCUGGAAGAUUUGGAAUCCUGCGAGCAGCGAACCAAAAGUUGCAAAACUGAUUUGAAACAGGCGGAGGAAGGGGAAAACACUCCAGCGAUCUUUCGAACAGCAAAUGAAAAAAAGACUCGGAGAAGUGAUGGAAAAACUUAACAUGAUGGAAUCCGAGAAGAAUCAGAUACAAAAUGAAAAACUUAGUGUGGAAAGUAAACUUCAGAGCGUUCUGGCAGAAGUUUCCGUCAAAGAUAAAGAGAGAGAGAACGCCUUGAAGGAAGCUCAGAAGUACCACGAGCUGUAUUUGAAAGGAAACGACCUCCUGAAUUCUAUGAGGGAGGAAAACAAGAUGAUUCAGUCCAAGACAGCGAAACCAGUUGGGGAGAUAGUGAGUGCCCUGGGGAACAACAGUCUGAAAGUUCGCGUGGAGAGGGAGGAUAAAGAAACAGCGAACCAAGAGAAGCUUUCUUCGGAAAAAAACAGGUAAAGGGAUGAAAUUGAGUCAGAGAGAGA